AGUGAACGCUGGCGGUAGGCCUAACACAUGCAAGUCGAACGGCAGCACAGUAAGAGCUUGCUCUUACGGGUGGCGAGUGGCGGACGGGUGAGGAAUACAUCGGAAUCUACUUUUUCGUGGGGGAUAACGUAGGGAAACUUACGCUAAUACCGCAUACGACCUACGGGUGAAAGCAGGGGAUCUUCGGACCUUGCGCGAUUGAAUGAGCCGAUGUCGGAUUAGCUAGUUGGCGGGGUAAAGGCCCACCAAGGCGACGAUCCGUAGCUGGUCUGAGAGGAUGAUCAGCCACACUGGAACUGAGACACGGUCCAGACUCCUACGGGAGGCAGCAGUGGGGAAUAUUGGACAAUGGGCGCAAGCCUGAUCCAGCCAUACCGCGUGGGUGAAGAAGGCCGUCGGGGUGUAAAGCCCUUUUGUUGGGAAAGAAAAGCAGCAGGUUAAUACCCCGCUGUUCUGACGGGACCCAAAGAAUAAGCACCGGCUAACUUCG
rnacentral:rRNA from 1 species